UGCGGCACCGGGACACCCUGGCUGAUAGGCAAGCAAGAGUCUUAGAUGUAAGGAACACAUCAAAAGAAAGGCAAGUCAUGACAAUCUGUGCACUAAAGGAAAAAAAGGCUGUUAACACACUUCAAGACGAACGACAAUUCUUGAGAGUGGUUGUCCCCGAACCUAGCUUUGAAAAAUUGCACGCAUACCUUGGUUGCUCUAACUGCAACUAGCGAACCAAUGUGCCAGCAGGGGAGACACACACAUGCCUUAAUUGUGGACAGAAAAAUGUCAUCUCCAUCCCUAGAGUUACUUUCAACUGCGACGUCUCUGAUGGAAAUGCCACGCUCCAAGUCACAAUAUUCAGCAAGGAUUUGGAAAAGCUUUUCAAAUUACCGGUUGAAGACA